UGGCUCCCAAAAUUUAUUCACUGAACCCCUUUGUCUCUUAAGUACUGUUACCAGUGAGUAUAUUUAAUGUUAUCAUCAGUCUCAGGGUUAUUAUCUUCUACAGUGAAAUAAAAAUACUAAUGGUAAUUAUAGUAAUAAGAAUGGUUUUUAGAUCUUUCUAUUUUUCAUGUCCUAUAAUUUGCAUGAAUUAUCUUAUUUAAUUAAUUACUUAAGAAAAGGAUAAUGCAAUGUCCAUUUAUAAGAGUCAAGUAACAUGUCCAAGACCUUCAUCAAGUAGGUAUGAGAUCUAAAAUUCAUGCAUAGCUUCACGAGGGCUCCCAUUUGGUACAUGCGGUGCAUAUAGAAAAAUUAAAAACAAAACAAAACAAAGCUAUAGAACGAUGUAGGUCUAAAAUCAUGAUGCAUAAAAGAACCUGAAAUCAGAGAGAGAGAUGGCUCAGCAGUGAGCAACACAACCUGCUCCUCCAGAGGAGCUGAGGUCACUCCUGUGCAUGUGUGUGAGGCUGGUCACACCUGCUGGUCACUGCAGCACAAGGGCAUCCGAUGCAACUGGUCUCCUAAGUUACCAUACUCACAUACAUAUUCAUGAUUUCAAAAUAAUAAAAAUAAAUUUAUAAAAGAAAUUGAAAUCCAAACAAAGAACCAACCAACCAACAAACAAACAAUAGGUGUACGUUGUAUAGAAUAGAAAAAAAAAAGAUUCAGGGAGGAAAAACAACAAAAAUC
rnacentral:lncRNA from 1 species